rnacentral:rRNA from 1 species
UCAUGGAAGCUGGAUGCACCCGAAGUCGCUUACCCCAACCUGCAAAGGAGGGACGUGCCUAAGGUGUGUUCAGUGACUGGGAUG